rnacentral:rRNA from 1 species
GAUGAACGCUGGCGGCGUGCCUAAUACAUGCAAGUCGAGCGAACGGACGAGAAGCUUGCUUCUCUGAUGUUAGCGGCGGACGGGUGAGUAACACGUGGAUAACCUACCUAUAAGACUGGGAUAACUUCGGGAAACCGGAGCUAAUACCGGAUAAUAUUUUGAACCGCAUGGUUCAAAAGUGAAAGACGGUCUUGCUGUCACUUAUAGAUGGAUCCGCGCUGCAUUAGCUAGUUGGUAAGGUAACGGCUUACCAAGGCAACGAUGCAUAGCCGACCUGAGAGGGUGAUCGGCCACACUGGAACUGAGACACGGUCCAGACUCCUACGGGAGGCAGCAGUAGGGAAUCUUCCGCAAUGGGCGAAAGCCUGACGGAGCAACGCCGCGUGAGUGAUGAAGGUCUUCGGAUCGUAAAACUCUGUCAUUAGGGAAGAACAUAUGUGUAAGUAACUGUGCACAUCUUGACGGUACCUAAUCAGAAAGCCACGGCUAACUACGUGCCAGCAGCCGCGGUAAUACGUAGGUGGCAAGCGUUAUCCGGAAUUAUUGGGCGUAAAGCGCGCGUAGGCGGUUUUUUAAGUCUGAUGUGAAAGCCCACGGCUCAACCGUGGAGGGUCAUUGGAAACUGGAAAACUUGAGUGCAGAAGAGGAAAGUGGAAUUCCAUGUGUAGCGGUGAAAUGCGCAGAGAUAUGGAGGAACACCAGUGGCGAAGGCGACUUUCUGGUCUGCAACUGACGCUGAUGUGCGAAAGCGUGGGGAUCAAACAGGAUUAGAUACCCUGGUAGUCCACGCCGUAAACGAUGAGUGCUAAGUGUUAGGGGGUUUCCGCCCCUUAGUGCUGCAGCUAACGCAUUAAGCACUCCGCCUGGGGAGUACGACCGCAAGGUUGAAACUCAAAGGAAUUGACGGGGACCCGCACAAGCGGUGGAGCAUGUGGUUUAAUUCGAAGCAACGCGAAGAACCUUACCAAAUCUUGACAUCCUUUGACAACUCUAGAGAUAGAGCCUUCCCCUUCGGGGGACAAAGUGACAGGUGGUGCAUGGUUGUCGUCAGCUCGUGUCGUGAGAUGUUGGGUUAAGUCCCGCAACGAGCGCAACCCUUAAGCUUAGUUGCCAUCAUUAAGUUGGGCACUCUAAGUUGACUGCCGGUGACAAACCGGAGGAAGGUGGGGAUGACGUCAAAUCAUCAUGCCCCUUAUGAUUUGGGCUACACACGUGCUACAAUGGACAAUACAAAGGGCAGCGAAACCGCGAGGUCAAGCAAAUCCCAUAAAGUUGUUCUCAGUUCGGAUUGUAGUCUGCAACUCGACUACAUGAAGCUGGAAUCGCUAGUAAUCGUAGAUCAGCAUGCUACGGUGAAUACGUUCCCGGGUCU